rfam:Drosophila ficusphila unplaced genomic scaffold scf7180000453906, whole genome shotgun sequence
UCGCUUUCCUAAGUACUAGUGCCGCAGGAGUUAGGUUCCUAUCCGCAAUACCUCCUGCUGCCCAAGUGCUUAUUAAAGCGA